CUGUUAGCAUCUUUAGCUGGUGCAGUUAUGGAGGGUGGAGAUUUGGAAUUUUUAGUUAUAAUAAAUAGUUUUACUAAACUACCACUACAGCAGCAAUUGAGAGAUUAAAUCUUAUGGAAGACCAACGACAAAACUGGAGCUGGGCGUGGAGAGAAAAAAAGGGGUUUUGGACGUUCAAUGAGGAAAACUAUAUCUGUACAGAGUGGCUAGCUAGUAGCGCCAAACUUUGACUGACUCUGUUGUCGAGGAGGACGUAAAAGCCAGUGGGAAAUUCUAUAACUUGGUUAUUGACCACUUAGCCACCAUGAAAGACAAGAGAAUGCUCUUCCUUUUCAAAUAGGGAUGAACUUGAUGAAGUCGUGACAACCUGGACUUCCCAUUGACAACAUUCGUGUCAAGCCAGGCCAUGGUGUGAUAGGAGGUCGCCCUAUUGUGCUACACAGUUCCAGAGAUAGACAGUUGACAUGGAGGAAUUGGCCCUUUAUAAGGAGUAGUGCACCGCCAAAAGCCAAUACCCAUGUGAUGAAACUGUAUUUGAUCUCUGCUGUCUUCUGAUGCAGGAAAAAGGAUGGGAUGCGCCCAGAGAUGUGUUUUCCGCUGCUGAACUCUACACCUUAUUGAGAACUGAAAUAGGCCUACUGCUAAAUAUCUGAGGGGUGGACAACUCUCUGCAGUUUGUAUGUUGUGUCAUGGUAGCAAUUCCUUUUGCGGCUACCCUGUUUACAGCUAUGACAAGGUGGCAACAGGACAGAGAGGUCAGCCCAACAGCAGAAUCUUCGUCUUUGAACACUGGUCUCAACCUUUAUGGGACCCUGAAGGCCUACUGUGGAUCAUAUGUUGACACUCUACAGAGUAUACAUUAAACAACCUGGAUAACUACAAAAACUGGAAGGUGCCAGUUUUAGCUCUUUCUACAGCAGCUUUUGUGGUCUAGGGGUCUGCUUAGUGCAAGGUCUCUGCUGGGCUCCAUCAACAGAGCUGAAGACAAACUGAGCAUCAGUUUGGUGGCCAACUAUCUUUUCAAGAGGAUUAAAAGGUACAGUAUGAUGAUAAUUUCAACAAAUUAAGUUAUAGCAAUAAAAACAGAUUUAGAAGCUCUUCUUUGUGCUGACGUGCUGCGGUAAGUGACUCAUUUCCGUUUCCGGUGCUUAUGUGUUGGUAGCGUGUUUUGCUGCUCCAACUAAACACCAAAUACCAGUUAAAUUUGUUAGAUUUGACAUUACAGCGGCUAACUGCGCCAAACACUCAUCCUCACAGUAGUUCUGCCUAAGCACUCACAGUUCUUUCCAUCUUUUAGUGACUCUCGUUAAAUUUCGUAGUUGCUUUCGAAAGUUUUGCAAACAUGACGGUGCUCUCCAAGACCUUCUCAGAGCCAUCUUACUCCCUACACAGAUAGUAGUAAUAAAAUGCAAAGGAUACCAAAACUCAACCUCACCUGUAGCUAAAGGAAAUGAUGCAGCAGACAAAGCAUCUAAACAAGCAGGAGGUUAUAACAGACAAUUGAUAUGUCUACAGACAGAGAACAGCCCCAAACUAACCAAAGAACACAUACAGAGAAUGCAAGAACAGGCAGGCCCCUAUGAACAAAAUCAGUGGCUUUCAAAAGGCGCAAAACAAACAGAUGAAGGUAUUUGGAGAACAUGUGAUGGUCAUUUGGUGGCACCUGCAGAACUCAGUCAUUUGUUAAUUAAAGAAGCCCAUGGGCCCACCCAUGUUGGUUGAAAAAGAACCACUAAAGAAGUGGAGAUUCAUUGGUGGUAUCCUUACAUGAAAGUAGAAAACUUUGUUAACGACUGUGGGAAAUGCAAUGCUUUCUAUGACAGGAGACCUUACAAAUGUCCAAUGGGACGUUUCCCGUUCCAGAUGCUCCAUUUAAAGAAAUCUGUAUAGACUUCACAGACAUGGGGGCAGAUAAUGUAGUAAGAGGGCACAGAUACAUUUUGGUUAUGGUAGACUUUUACACCAAAUGGAUUAAAGCUAUCCCAUGUAAAAAAAGAAGACGCACACGCAAGAAUUGGUGAAGGGAGCUAACCAAACAUUGAAAAGAAAAAUUGCCAAAGCCUGUCAUAACACCAUAAUGAACUGGGUAGAUGCACUGCCCCUGGCACUAAUGUCCAUGGGAACAUCACAGAGUGGCAAAACUCACCUGUCUCCCCACGAGUUGUUGACAGGCAGGCCAAUGCCAGGGCCACCCAGAGAUGGAGGUCUGGGUCCAGUGUUGGACUUACGGCUGAUAGAAGUAGGAGAUUAUAUGAAGGCCCUUGCUAAACUUACUCGAGUUUUGUCUUCACAGGUCCAAAUUGCUACCAAAGCACCGCGGAACAAAACAGAGACUCCUGCUGGGUCUGGAGAAUGGGUGUGGGUGAAAGUUCACAAGAGAAAGUGGGCUGAACCCAGGUGGACAGGACCGUGGGAAGUGAUUUGGCACCACCUUACACAUUGUACACCCGCUCAAGCCCCCUCCUGAUCAAUAGAGGAGGUUAGAACUGAUUUGGCCACGCUGUGAACAAAAAUAGAUUUUUGAUUGGCAUUAUGAAUUAGGAUUAUACACAGCAGAUCCAGGAAAUUUGACUCUGGUAGUUUACUUAAAACUGAAUCAUUCUUUGUUUAUAUUUUUUUAUUUAUUGUUUUUGUUUGUUUAGUUUUUCCUUCCACAUUUACUGAAAACUCAAUCAUUCUUUGUUUAUAUUUUUUAUUUAUUGUUUUUGUUUGUUUAGUUUUUCCU